rnacentral:rRNA from 1 species
AUGAACGCUGGCGGCGUGCCUAAUACAUGCAAGUCGAGCGAACGGACGAGAAGCUUGCUUCUCUGAUGUUAGCGGCGGACGGGUGAGUAACACGUGGAUAACCUACCUAUAAGACUGGGAUAACUUCGGGAAACCGUAGCUAAUACCGGAUAAUAUUUUGAACCGCAUGGUUCAAAAGUGAAAGACGGUCUUGCUGUCACUUAUAGAUGGAUCCGCGCUGCAUUAGCUAGUUGGUAAGGUAACGGCUUACCAAGGCAACGAUGCAUAGCCGACCUGAGAGGGUGAUCGGCCACACUGGAACUGAGACACGGUCCAGACUCCUACGGGAGGCAGCAGUAGGGAAUCUUCCGCAAUGGGCGAAAGCCUGACGGAGCAACGCCGCGUGAGUGAUGAAGGUCUUCGGAUCGUAAAACUCUGUUAUUAGGGAAGAACAUAUGUGUAAGUAACUGUGCACAUCUUGACGGUACCUAAUCAGAAAGCCACGGCUGACUACGUG